rnacentral:misc_RNA from 1 species
GAACUGCGAUAAGUAAUGUGAAUUGCAGAAUUCAGUGAAUCAUCGAGUCUUUGAACGCACAUUGCGCCCCCUGGCUUUCCGGGGGGCAUGCCUGUCCGAGCGUCAUUGCUGCCCUUCAAGCCCGGCUUGUGUGUUGGGUCGUCGUCCCCUCCGGGGGACGGGCCCGAAAGGCAGCGGCGGCACCGCGUCCGGUCCUCGAGCGUAUGGGGCUUUGUCACCCGCUCGAUAAGGACCGGCCGGGCGCCAGCCGGCGUCUCCAACCUUUUUUUCUCAGGUUGACCUCGGAUCAGGUAGGGAUACCCGCUGAACUUAAGC